UACGUAGGGGGCGAGCGUUGUCCGGAUUUAUUGGGCGUAAAGAGCUCGUAGGCGGUUUGGUAAGUCGGAUGUGAAAUCUCCAGGCUCAACCUGGAGGGGUCAUUCGAGACUGCUAUGACUAGAGUUCGGUAGAGGAGUGUGGAAUUCCUGGUGGAGCGGUGAAAUGCGCAGAUAUCAGGAGGAACACCGAUGGCGAAGGCAGGUCUCUGGGCCAUAACUGACGCUGAGAAGCGAAAGCAUGGGGAGCGAACAGG
rnacentral:rRNA from 1 species